rnacentral:rRNA from 1 species
ACUCCUAAGGCGAGGCCGAAAGGCGUAGUCGAUGGGAAACGGGUUAAUAUUCCCGUACUUCUUACAAUUGCGAUGGGGGGACGGAGAAGGCUAGGUGGGCCUGGCGACGGUUGUCCAGGUUCAAGUAUGUAGGCGGAAAGUUUAGGUAAAUCCGGACUUUCAUUAACGCUGAGAUACGAUGUCGAGCUACUACGGUAGUGAAGUCAUUGAUGCCAUGCUUCCAGGAAAAGCCUCUAAGCUUCAGAUUGUAAGGAAUCGUACCCCAAACCGACACAGGUGGUCGGGUAGAGAAUACCAAGGCGCUUGAGAGAACUCGGGUGAAGGAACUAGGCAAAAUGGUACCGUAACUUCGGGAGAAGGUACGCUCUUAUCAGUGAAGUCCCUUGCGGAUGGAGCAGACGAGAGUCGCAGAUACCAGGUGGCUGCAACUGUUUAUUAAAAACACAGCACUGUGCAAAAUCGUAAGAUGACGUAUACGGUGUGACGCCUGCCCGGUGCCGGAAGGUUAAUUGAUGGGGUUAGACUUCGGUCGAAGCUCUUGAUCGAAGCCCCGGUAAACGGCGGCCGUAACUAUAACGGUCCUAAGGUAGCGAAAUUCCUUGUCGGGUAAGUUCCGACCUGCACGAAUGGCGUAAUGAUGGCCACGCUGUCUCCACCCGAGACUCAGUGAAAUUGAAAUCGCUGUGAAGAUGCAGUGUACCCGCGGCUAGACGGAAAGACCCCGUGAACCUUUACUACAGCUUGGCACUGAACAUUGAACCUACAUGUGUAGGAUAGGUGGGAGACUAUGAAAUUGCGUCGCUAGAUGUGAUGGAGUCGUCCUUGAAAUACCACCCUUGUAGUUUUGAUGUUCUAACGUUGGUCCCUGAAUCGGGAUUACGGACAGUGCCUGGUGGGUAGUUUGACUGGGGCGGUCUCCUCCCAAAGAGUAACGGAGGAGCACGAAGGUGGGCUAAACACGGUUGGACAUCGUGUGGUUAGUGCAAUGGCAUAAGCCCGCUUGACUGCGAGAAUGACAAUUCGAGCAGGUGCGAAAGCAGGUCAUAGUGAUCCGGUGGUUCUGAAUGGAAGGGCCAUCGCUCAACGGAUAAAAGGUACUCCGGGGAUAACAGGCUGAUACCGCCCAAGAGUUCAUAUCGACGGCGGUGUUUGGCACCUCGAUGUCGGCUCAUCACAUCCUGGGGCUGAAGUCGGUCCCAAGGGUAUGGCUGUUCGCCAUUUAAAGUGGUACGCGAGCUGGGUUUAGAACGUCGUGAGACAGUUCGGUCCCUAUCUGCCGUGGGCGUUGGAAAAUUGAAAGGGGCUGCUCCUAGUACGAGAGGACCGGAGUGGACGAACCUCUGGUGUUCGGGUUGUCAUGCCAAUGGCAUUGCCCGGUAGCUAAGUUCGGAAUCGAUAACCGCUGAAAGCAUCUAAGCGGGAAGCGAGCCUUGAGAUGAGUUUUCCCUGGCACUAUAAGUGUCCUAAAGGGUUGUCGUAGACUACGACGUUGAUAGGCAGGGUGUGUAAGUGCUGCGAGGCAUUGAGCUAACCUGUACUAAUUGCCCGUGAGGCUUAACCAU